GCCACGGUGGUCUAGCGGUUAGAAUGCUGGCCUUGUAAUCCUGGGGUCUCGGGUUCGAUUCCCGUCAGUGCCC
rfam:Zootermopsis nevadensis contig29650, whole genome shotgun sequence.